rnacentral:rRNA from 1 species
AGAGUUUGAUCAUGGCUCAGGACGAACGCUGGCGGCGUGCUUAACACAUGCAAGUCGUACGCGAACGCACCUUCGGGUGUUAGUAGAGUGGCGCACGGGUGAGUAACACGUGGAUAAUCUACCCAAUGAUCCGGGAUAACCUUUCGAAAGGAAUGCUAAUACCGGAUAAGCCUACGAAUUCUUCGGGAAAUGUAGGAAAAGGUGGGGACCUUCGGGCCUACUGUCAUUGGAUGAGUCCGCGGCCCAUUAGCUAGUUGGUGGGGUAAAAGCCUACCAAGGCAACGAUGGGUAGCUGGUCUGAGAGGAUGAUCAGCCACACUGGAACUGAGACACGGUCCAGACUCCUACGGGAGGCAGCAGUGGGGAAUUUUGCGCAAUGGACGAAAGUCUGACGCAGCAACGCCGCGUGAGUGAUGAAGGUUUUAGGAUCGUAAAGCUCUGUCAGUGGGGAAGAAUUGUUCGGUGGGUAAUAUUCACUGAAUUUGACGGUACCCACAAAGGAAGCACCGGCUAACUCCGUGCCAGCAGCCGCGGUAAUACGGAGGGUGCAAGCGUUGUUCGGAAUUAUUGGGCGUAAAGCGCGUGUAGGCGGUUUUUUAAUUCUGAUGUGAAAGCCCGGGGCUCAACCCCGGAAGUGCAUUGGAAACUGGGAAACUUGAAUACGGGAGAGGGAAGUGGAAUUUCGAGUGUAGGGGUGAAAUCCGUAGAUAUUCGAAGGAACACCAGGGGCGAAGGCGGCUUCCUGGACCGAUAUUGACGCUGAGACGCGAAAGCGUGUGGAGCAAACAGGAUUAGAUACCCUGGUAGUCCACGCCGUAAACGAUGGGUACUAGACGUCGCGGGUAACCACUCCUGCGGUGUCGCAGCUAACGCGUUAAGUACCCCGCCUGGGGAGUACGGCCGCAAGGUUAAAACUCAAAGGAAUUGACGG